rnacentral:lncRNA from 1 species
GCGCAUCGAUCUGAGUCCUCGUCACCCUCUUAUCUCUUCCUCCCCUCCACUCUUUAUCUCUCCCUUCUCUUCCUCAUCUCUUCCUCUUUCCCUCUCAUCUCUUCCUCUCCCCUUCCUCUCUUCUCUUCCUCAGAUCUGCAGGAGAAGCGGCCGGUGGUGGCCGGGCCCGUGACGGGGAGAGACGGCGGCGGCCGAGCCUAUGCUGGGCGGGGGCGGCCACGGCGGCGGCCGGGCCAUGCCGGGCGAGGGCGGUGGCGGCCGGACCUGUGCCGGGGAGGGGCAGCGGCCGGGCCGUGCCGGGCAAGGGCGGCGGCGGCUAGGGCCGUGCCAGGGAGGGGCCGCGGCGGCGGCCGGGGCCGAGCCGUGCCGGGCGGCGGCGGCGGCGGCCAGGCGAUGGCGGGCUGGGGAGGUUUCGGCCAGGCGUGGCAGGGCGACGGCCGCCAGGCGGUGGCUGAGCGACGGCGGCCCGGCGCGGAAGACCGCGCGGCGGAAGGAUUCAUGGAUUUCUUUUUCUUUUUUCCUUCUCGUUGUGUGAAUAAUGUGAAUAAUUGUUUGCUGAUUUUAUCUGUGAUUUGAGAAUGAUGUAUGAUUUGUUGUUGUGGAUGAUUUGGGAUGUUGAGAUAUUGGUUUGUUGCUGUGAAUGAUUUGGGAUGUGUGAACAAAAUCUGUGAUUUAUUAUUUUAUUUGAUUUGGAGAUAUUUGCGGUAGAAAAAAAAGAAAAAAAAUAACUUUUGUAUCGGUUGGUAACUUAGUCUCGGUUGGUGUUACAAACCGGCACUAAAAAUCUAUUUUUAGUCCCGGUUAUUUCAACCGGGACUAAAAUGAACAUCUUUAGUCACUAUAGGAGGGUUCCCAACUGAGACUAAAAAGCGAUUCUCCAAUAGUGAAUCUAAAAUCCAAUUACACCGUUUUAUUAGUUACAAUUAAAUCUUUACAACAACAUCUCAUAUGAUUAAAUUACGAUGAUUUUUUUAAAUUUUAUGCUGCAUAUGGCGUUAUUAAGAUGUUUCAGUAAGUAUUGUAUGAUGUUUCUGUACUUCGUUUGCAAAUGUUGUACA